rnacentral:rRNA from 1 species
UCCUACGGGGCGCAGCAGUGGGGAAUAUUGCACAAUGGGCGAAAGCCUGAUGCAGCAACGCCGCGUGAAGGAAGAAGGCUUUCGGGUUGUAAACUUCUUUUCUCAGGGACGAAGCAAGUGACGGUACCUGAGGAAUAAGCAUCGGCUAACUCCGUGCCAGCAGCCGCGGUAAUACGGAGGAUGCGAGCGUUAUCCGGAUUUAUUGGGUUUAAAGGGUGCGAAGGCGGAUUUUUAAGUCAGCGGGAAAAUGUCCGGGCUCAACCCGGGCCGGCCGUUGAAACUGGGGGUCUUGCGGGGGCGAGAGG